UACACAUGCAGUCCGACGUGAAAGGGGAGCAAUCCCCCGGUAGGGUGGCAAACGGGUGAGUAAGACAUGGGUGAUCUGCCCUGGAGAUGGGGAUAUCCCUCCGAAAGGGGGGGCAAUACCGAAUAGUAUCCGGUUCCGUGAAGGGGGCCGGGGAAAGGGAGGCCUCUGGUACAAGCUUCCGCUCCUGGAUGAGCCCAUGGCCCAUCAGCUAGUUGGUAGGGUAAAGGCCUACCAAGGCGACGACGGGUAGCUGGUCUGAGAGGACAACCAGCCACACUGGCACUGAGACACGGGCCAGACUCCUACGGGAGGCAGCAGUGAGGAAUAUUGCGCAAUGGGGGCAACCCUGACGCAGCAACGCCGCGUGUGGGAAGAAGGCUUUCGGGUUGUAAACCACUUUUGCCCGGGACGAAAGGGGGGACCUGAAUAAGGUUGCCCGAUGACGGUACCGGGAGAAUAAGCCACGGCUAACUCUGUGCCAGCAGCCGCGGUAAGACAGAGGUGGCAAGCGUUGUUCGGAGUUACUGGGCGUAAAGAGUCUGUAGGUGGUCUGUCAAGUCUUUGGUGAAAGGCCGUGGCUUAACCAUGGGAAUGCCAAAGAGACUGGCAGACUGGAGGCUGGGAGAGGGAAGCGGAAUUUCUGGUGUAGCGGUGAAAUGCGUAGAUAUCAGAAGGAAGGCCGGUGGCGAAGGCGGCUUCCUGAAACAGACCUGACACUGAGAGACGAAAGCGUGGGGAGCAAACAGGAUUAGAUACCCUGGUAGUCCACGCCCUAAACGAUGGGUACUAAGUGUGGGAGGGUUAAACCUCCCGUGCCGCAGCCAACGCAGUAAGUACCCCGCCUGGGGAG
rnacentral:rRNA from 1 species